UUGCUAACCUCACAUGGCAAAAGUAACAUUGUAGUAGCGGUGGAUCACCUAAGUAAAUUAGUGCAUUUUAUAGCAUUAGUUCAUUCAUAUACUGCCAAAACCAUUACUGAGACUUCUAUUAACACGAUUGUAAAGGUGCAUGGCAUGCCUCGCUCCAUAGUAAUGAUGUCUAAAACCUAACUCAAAUAUCAAUUUCUCUUAUCACCCUUAGACCGAUGGACAAUGCAAAGUAACUAACUAGAAUUUGGAGCAAUAUCUUCGAUGUCUAUGUCACUAGCAACCCCGCCGUUGUAGUACCUCACUAUUAUAGGUAGAGUAGUGGUACAACACAACAUUCUAUUCCAUCAAAAUAACACAUUUCCAAGCAAUAUAUGGAUGACCACCUCCUACUAUUCCCUUUUACCACACUUGCACUUCUCUUAUAAAUGAGGUGGAUAUUCGACUGACCAACCGAGAUGAACCGUUGCAUCAACUCAAAAUAAACUUACAAGCCCCCACCAACUG
rnacentral:lncRNA from 1 species